rnacentral:rRNA from 1 species
GACGAACGCUGGCGGCGUGCUUAACACAUGCAAGUCGAACGAUGAAACCUAGCUUGCUAGGUCGAUUAGUGGCGAACGGGUGAGUAACACGUGACUAACCUGCCCCUUUCUCUGGGAUAACGCUCCGAAAGGAGUGCUAAUACCGGAUACUCACACCGAGGCACAUGCCUUGGUGUGGAAAGUUUUUCGGAAAGGGAUGGAGUCGCGGCCUAUCAGCUUGUUGGUGAGGUAACGGCUCACCAGGGCGACGACGGGUAGCCGGCCUGAGAGGGGGACCGGCCACACUGGGACUGAGACACGGCCCAGACUCCUACGGGAGGCAGCAGUGGGGAAUAUUGCACAAUGGGCGCAAGCCUGAUGCAGCGACGCCGCGUGAGGGAUGAAGGUCUUCAGAUUGUAAACCUCUUUCAGUAGGGACGGAGCGAAAGUGACGGUACCUAAAGAAGAAGCACCGGCUAACUACGUGCCAGCCGCCGCCGUAA